UACAGAGGUGGCGAGCGUUAAUCGGAAUUACUGGGCGUAAAGCGCACGUAGGCGGCUUGGUAUGUCGGGUGUGAAAUCCCCGGGCUCAACCUGGGAACUGCAUCCGAAACUGCCUUGCUAGAGUAUGGGAGAGGGAAGUGGAAUUUCCGGUGUAGCGGUGAAAUGCGUAGAUAUCGGAAGGAACAUCAGUGGCGAAGGCGACUUCCUGGACCAAUACUGACGCUCAGGUGCGAAAGCGUGGGGAGCAAACAGG
rnacentral:rRNA from 1 species